rnacentral:snRNA from 1 species
AUACUUACCUGGACGGGGUCAAUGGUAGAUCAAGAAGGACCAUGGCCUAGAUCAGUGACCUCCAUUGCACUUUGGAGGGGUGCUUGUCUAAGGUCUCCCCAAGAGGGAGAGCCUACGUCAUAAUUUGUGGCAGCGGGGUUCUGCGUUCGCGCGGCCCCUUG